AUGAAGAUGCAACUCUUGGAGCUACUUCUGUUUCUAAAUUUCGGUCCACUUUUUUCCGUAGGUCAGCUGAUAACCUACUCCAUUAACCAAGGACAAGAUUUUCAAAGGUUAUUUACACAUGACAAUUACCACACACACUAUGGGAAAUACUGCUGCAAACAGACACAAAGCAGAUGCACCGUGUUUAUCAACACAAAAGGAUUUAUAGCUAAUGAAUACUGGAGCAGAGCAAGAAUAAAGCAAUACAGUGGAGCAAUAGAACUAAUAAUAAGAAAUGUCCAGAAGAGAGAUACCGGCGUUUACCGAUGUGGAGUAGAUGGAUUCAAUCUACAUGUCAAUUUUCAUCUACAAAUUGCAGCUCCAGAAACUCAAACACCUCCCAGAACAGCAGCCCCUGCCAGCACGGUCAAAACCACCACACUGGUCACAGCUGGGUUACAGAACCAGAGUCCGGACAACAGAGACCAAGAAUACAAGUGGGUAAUUCCUCUGGCAGCCACUCUAGCUGUGUUGAUGUUAGUGCUCAUUUGCUCGGUUGCAGUCAUCAUAAGACGUAGAAGAAAGAAGACCGAGAAUAAACCCGCAGCCCCCAGCGAGACUUCCGUGCCCUUGCCCUCGUGUGAAUCCUUACCAGAACUGGACAGCAUCACCUACACCACUGUGGAUUUUAAACCCGCCCAAAACAACGAUGCUUUUGACCUCUACGCCAAUCUGAGGAUGCACGAGAGUGAGACAGCACCAGCCAGUCGCAACACAGACACAGUGGAAUACUCCACAGUGGCCUUCAAAGUCCAAUAGGAGAGCGGUCCUGAAAAACAUACUGCAUUUUGUGCCGAAACAUUUCAGCCCACUCAAUAAGCAUAAUAAUGUUCACAUAAUGAACAAGUAAUGCUGUAGGUUUAUUCCAUGCUGAAAAGAGAAGAAAGAAAACACGACGCUUCGGCUGUGGAGCCUUCUUCGGAUGGAUGGAAUGGAAAUCAUGCAUGCAUGGAAUAACCCUAUUACUUGUUCCUUUGCAGCAUACUUGGACUGAAAGUCCUGCAAUUCAUGUAUAAAAGGCUCUCCUUGACAUUGCAAUUCUCCUCGUGUAAACAUUGUAAUGAAUGCUGCUUUUAACAUUUUUUGCACUGUUGUAAAUACACUGAAAUCUGUUUAACUGAAGAGGAGAAUCACGGGUUUAUAAUAAUAAUAAACUUUAUUUUACAUAGCACCUUUAAAGGUGGCUUCUCAAUUCAGAUGUGGUAAUUUUCUUUCAUUUUCAGCCCGGGGAGAACGUGUAAACAGUUAAAAAAAAUUUCAAGAACCUUGUUACACCAAGA
rnacentral:lncRNA from 1 species